rnacentral:ncRNA from 1 species
CUCAGCCAUACUCUAACGAGUGUUGCUGAGCCACACGCCAAUUUAUUAGCGCAUCAUUUAGAUUUAUUUUAAGCCAUAAAAUACAAUCGCAACAUUAAGUAAGGUUAAUUUUUCCUUACGAGAAAAAAUUAAUUGCAAUAAAAAAUAUUUACAACGAAAUAUGAAGCGACAGUGGAAGGUUCAGAAAUGAACUUUUUGAAAUGAUAAACUGGCUAUAUCUU